rnacentral:ncRNA from 1 species
UGUCUCCUCCACCUCCUUCAAUGGUGGAUUAAGCCCGGAGCCUGCAAAGGCCCCGGGCUCUUUUCU